GUAAUUGGAAAUUAACUGUUAAAUCUAAACAGGCCAAGUGAAAUUAGAUAUGAAAUCGCUAAGUAUUGCUGCUUCUUGAUAUGAAAUUGUAUGCACUUUCUAUUUUAAAAAGGUAAAUGUUUCACUGGUAAUUUAUUUAUUUAUAUUUGUUACAGACAGUUUCAUCAUCCAUAAGACUGUUGCAUUCAAUAGGUCUCAAGCCUUUCUGAUGACCAUUUUUUUCAAGCCAGUGAGUAUUUUACAAACCAGUUAUAAAAGCAAUUGUCAUAGAGCACAACAAAUUAAAGAGAAAAAAAAAGAUAAUAUUUAAAACUUUGGGUUAUUCUGCAAUAUGGCAAUUUACAGUAUGUAACCAAGUGUUGCAACAGAAAUAAAGCAAUGGAAUAACAAAUCA
rnacentral:lncRNA from 1 species